rnacentral:rRNA from 1 species
GGAUAACACCUGGAAACAGAUGCUAAUACCGGAUAACAACAGAUGAUGCCUAUCAACUGUUUAAAAGAUGGUUCUGCUAUCACUCUUGGAUGGACCUGCGGUGCAUUAGCUAGUUGGUAGGGUAACGGCCUACCAAGGCGAUGAUGCAUAGCCGAGUUGAGAGACUGAUCGGCCACAUUGGGACUGAGACACGGCCCAAACUCCUACGGGAGGCAGCAGNG